GAGUUUGAUCGUGGCUCAGGAUGAACGCUGGCGGCGUGCUUAACACAUGCAAGUCGAACGGGAAUUACUUUAUUGAAACUUCGGUCGAUUUAAUUUAAUUCUAGUGGCGGACGGGUGAGUAACGCGUGGGUAACCUGCCUUAUACAGGGGGAUAACAGUCAGAAAUGACUGCUAAUACCGCAUAAGCGCACGGAACCGCAUGGUUCUGUGUGAAAAACUCCGGUGGUAUAAGAUGGACCCGCGUUGGAUUAGCUUGUUGGUGAGGUAACGGCUCACCAAGGCGACGAUCCAUAGCCGGCCUGAGAGGGUGAACGGCCACAUUGGGACUGAGACACGGCCCAGACUCCUACGGGAGGCAGCAGUGGGGAAUAUUGCACAAUGGGGGAAACCCUGAUGCAGCGACGCCGCGU
rnacentral:rRNA from 1 species